UAACACAUGCAAGUCGAACGGUAACGGUCCCUUCGGGGAGCCGACGAGUGGCGGACGGGUGAGUAACGCGUAGGAAUUUGCCUGGUAGUGGAGGACAACCCGGGGAAACUCGGGCUAAUACUGCAUACGCCCUACGGGGGAAAGCGGGGGAUCUUCGGACCUCGCGCUAUCAGAUGAGCCUGCGUUGGAUUAGCUUGUUGGUGGGGUAAUGGCCUACCAAGGCGACGAUCUAUAGCUGGUCUGAGAGGAUGAUCAGCCACACUGGGACUGAGACACGGCCCAGACUCCUACGGGAGGCAGCAGUGGGGAAUAUUGGACAAUGGGCGAAACCCUGAUCCAGCAAUGCCGC
rnacentral:rRNA from 1 species